rnacentral:rRNA from 1 species
GACGAACCGAGCGAACGUUGUUCGGAAUCACUGGGCUUAAAGGGCGCGUAGGCGGCCUGUCAAGUUUGGGGUGAAAUGCCACGGCUCAACCGUGGAACUGCUCGGUAUACUGCUUAUCUUGAGCCACUUAGGGGCUGUCGGAACAAACGGUGGAGCGGUGAAAUGCGUAGAUAUCGGUUGGAACGCCAAAGGUGAAAGCAGACAGCUGGGAGUGUGCUGACGCUGAGACACGAAAGCCAGGGGAGCGAACGGG